GUCCGCUCUUGCUCCUGGAAGAACUCUAUGGUGGCAGAGUAGAUAGGGAGGGCUGGGCUCCUCCCCCAUUCUCUUUGUGCUGGGCAAUGCUGUAGGAAAAUCUGGAACAAUAACUAGAAGUCUUAAACUGAUUGGGAUCCAGAAUGAGUGUCCAAGAUAGUACCUCUUUCCGAACUUGUAUUGAGCAUCACACAUCAGAAUGUAGGAAGUGCUUUCUUCUGAGGUGUGAUGCUAGGAUUAUAGAGAACACGUGGUGUGACUUAUGGCCUCUGAGGUGACUUAAUUUAUCAAAUUCACCAGGCAUUAAGAUGAAAUUCUCAGGCUCAUGAGAAAUGACGACAGGGUUGCAACAACUAUUUCAAGUGUAUAGUGAAGCUGAUGCCAAACAACAUUAAGACACCAGAAGUAUGGAAAAACAAGUGAUGAAAAUUAAAGCACUUGGAAAAAGAUAGAGAGAUGAAAUUCUGAGGCAAAUGAGAAAUGACGACAGGGUUGCAACAACUUCAAGUGUAUAGUGAAGCUGAUGCCAAACAACAUUAAGACACCAGAAGUAUGGAAAAACAAGUGAUGGAAAUUAAAGCACCUGGAAAAAGAUACGGAGAGAUGAAAUUCUGAGGCAAAUGAGAAAUGACGACAGGGUUGCAACAACUAUUUCAAGUGUAUAGUGAAGCUGAUGCCAAACAUUAAGACACCAGAAGUAUGGAAAAACAAGUGAUGGAAAUUAAAGCACCUGGAAAAAGAUACGGAGAUGACACUCUGAGGCAAAUGAGAAAUGGCGACAUGGUUGCAACAACUAUUUUAAGUGUAUAGUGAAGCUGCUGCCAGACUUUCAGACGUAUGAAAAAACGAGGCUGGUGGAAAUGAAAGCACCUGGAAAGGAAGAUACAGAGGAUUGUACAAUUGAACAAAAGCACAUGGUUAUGGAAUAUCUUGCAACAUAGUAAUUUCAUAGCAGUUGAGACAUGAAGAGGCAAUGGAAUCAACAGGCAUAUGAAAAUUAUCUACUUCUGGAUUGGAUGGAGAGAUUGUUGGAAGGCUAGGAAAGGCCAAGUUGUCAGGCAGGUGUAUAUUGGUACUAUUGACCAAGUUGGAGGUAGAUGGGAGUGUCUUUAACCACUUCCAGACCUGCGCA